rnacentral:rRNA from 1 species
CUGGCCUUGACAUCCUGCGAACUUUCUAGAGAUAGAUUGGUGCCUUCGGGAGCGCAGUGACAGGUGCUGCAUGGCCGUCGUCAGCUCGUGUCGUGAGAUGUUGGGUUAAGUCCCGUAACGAGCGCAACCCCUAUCCCUAGUUGCUAGCAGUUCGGCUGAGAACUCUAGGGAGACUGCCGGUGACAAACCGGAGGAAGGUGGGGAUGACGUCAGGUCAUCAUGGCCCUUACGGCCAGGGCUACACACGUGCUACAAUGGCGCGCACAGAGGGCUGCAAACCCGCGAGGGGGAGCUAAUCUCACAAAACGCGUCGUAGUCCGGACCGCAGUCUGCAACUCGACUGCGUGAAGUCGGAAUCGCUAGAAAUCGCGAAUCAGAAUGUCGCGGUGAAUACGUUCCC